CUGGUGCCUCCGCGCGGCCCCGAGCAACGCGGGCUGCGGAGGUGGGAGGGAGGGAUCGGGCCCCGGGGUUGUGGUCGCGGCUCCGUGUCACCGCCGUGGGCGUUAAAAGUGAGCUACGGCCGCUGCUCGUGUGGGACGUGAGGGCUUCCAGGAGCCCUCCUGUUUCUCCCUCAAGUGACGCCUUUAAAAUCGACUUCUGAGGGCUGCGUCAGGAGGACUGCGCACAGUCCUUCCGUCAGCCGUAGGAUUGCACAGAGCAUUUCUGAUUUGUAAAGCAAGGUGAGGGCUCUGUCAUAAGGUUAAUCCAGCCACUGUGGAGUAAAAUGUACUAAACAUCAGUCAGCGAAAAGCGCUGAAUUUCUGCGGCUCCUGUGAUGCUGCAGCACAGAGAGGAUAACACCAAAGAGAAGCCCGUGGUGCGGUCAGGUCACUGCCUGCAGUGCCCAGUAAUCCAACCCAUGUCCUUGCGGAGAGAAAUCCCAACCUCACCAGUUUUAAAGUGUAAAAAGUACCGAUGCGCAGAGAAACGUGAAAUACAGUACCAAGGUCUUGGGCUGCUCUGGAGUAAAACUUGAUCUAAGCAAAGGAGGAACAGUGAGCCUUAAGGAUGAAGGCGUCAGCAGGGAGGGAGCGCUGGAACAUCUGUAAUGAGAAGCACGGUCUCUUUGGCAUCUCGGGUUGCUCCCUUCUGAGGUGAAAAUGGUCGGAGCAUGUAGGCAGAAACUGUUCUUGUUUGCACCACUGUAAAGCCAGAGCGCUCCCGGUGACCUGAUGGUUGUGUUUCGUCUGUCCUCCUGUCGAACUUGACCUGUUAGCGGGCCUCCCUGAGCUUCAUAGAAUCAUGGAAUCAUUAAGGUUGGGAGAGACCUCUCAGAUCAUCUAAUCCAACCGGCAGCUCAUCCCCACCAUGCCCACUGCCCACGUCCCUCAGUGCCACAUCCACACAGUACUUGAACACCUCCAGGGACGGUGAUGGACACCUCCCUGGGCAGCUGUGCCACUGCAUCACCACUCCUUCCGAGAAGAAAUUUUUUCCAAUAGCCAACCUGAGCCUUCCCUGGUGCAAGUUAAGGCCAUUCCCUCUUGCCCCCAUUACCUGUCCUCAAACCACAGAAAACACCGGGAGAACCAGAGGGUGGAGGGGAUGGGAGGCUCCCUUCACAUCCAUGCAGCUUUAGAAAGGUGCAGAGGUGCAAAACAUACUCUGAUUGUUGUAAAUUUUGGAAAGAGGGGAAAGAUGAAAUACGCAGAAACCUGGGAUAAAACACAUAAAAAAGAACGGAAAGAGAUGCAGAUGAUUUAACACGUCUUGGUUUAUUUUAAAGAAAUGUGGAUUUUGUUUAAUUUCCCUGUCUCGGCUGCCAAAACUCCUAGCUUCAGAUUAUAAGUGCAAAGUGAUUAUUUGUGAAGCCAUUAAGUAAUGUGAUUAGCACGGCUCUUAAGCAGAGGUGCUGCCUGACACGCAAUGAUGGGGUGGCACAUUUUGCUGUACAUCCCUACGUUUGGGUGUCUGAGGAGAUGUUUGGUGAACAGGUCCUGUGUGCAGGUGGUGGAGUGACUCCACUCCCAUGGUGGGUAGAAUAAAAUCCUUUGUGGCGCAUUAACUUUGAAGGGUACCUUCAAACAAAAAGGGACUCAGAAAGGCAAAAUGCUGUUACAGGAGACCAAAGGCCGUUGAGACAUUCUGGGACUUCAUUUGCAGUUUUCCUGAAUAGUAAUAAUGUACUAGUGACUGCUUAGUGUCUCAGAAAAGUGGGG
ensembl:lncRNA